UACGGAGGGGGCUAGCGUUGUUCGGAAUUACUGGGCGUAAAGCGCGCGUAGGCGGACUGGCAAGUCGGGGGUGAAAUGCCGAGGCUCAACCUCGGAACUGCCUUCGAUACUGCCAGUCUUGAGGUCGGGAGAGGUGAGUGGAACUCCGAGUGUAGAGGUGAAAUGCGUAGAUAUCGGAAGGAACACCUGUGGCGAAAGCGGCUCACUGGACCAUAACUGACGCUGAGGCACGAAAGCUAGGGGAGCAAACAGG
rnacentral:rRNA from 1 species